rnacentral:rRNA from 1 species
UACGAAGGGGGCAAGCGUUGUUCGGAAUUACUGGGCGUAAAGCGCACGUAGGCGGGUGGUUAAGUUGGGGGUGAAAUCCCGAGGCUCAACUCCGGAACUGCCCUCGAGACUGCAGAGCUGGAGGAUGCGGGAGGUGAGUGGAAUUCCGAGUGUAGAGGUGAAAUGCGUAGAUAUUCGGAAGAACACCCGAGGCGAAGGCGGCUCACUAGGCUAUUGCUGACGCUGAGGUGCGAAAGCGAGGGGAGCAAACCGG